rnacentral:rRNA from 1 species
GUAGAUCAUCUGCCCUCAGGCCCGGGAUAGCUGCGGGAAACUGCAGGUAAUACCGGAUAACAUCUCCGGAUCAAAGGUGUGAUUCCGCCUGAGGAUGAGUCUGCAUCCUAUUAGCUAGUUGGCAGGGUAACGGCCUACCAAGGCAUUGAUGGGUAGCGGGUGUGAGAGCACGACCCGCGUCAUUGGGACUGAGACACUGCCCAGACACCUACGGGUGGCUGCAGUCGAGAAUCUUCGGCAAUGGGCGCAAGCCUGACCGAGCGACGCCGCGUGUGGGAUGAAGGCCUUCGGGUUGUAAACCACUGUCAGAGGGGAUGAAAUGCAGGUGGGUUCUCCCAUCUGUUUGACAUAGCCUCAGAGGAAACACGGGCUAAGUUCGUGCCAGCAGCCGCGGUAAGACGAACUGUGCAAACGUUAUUCGGAAUCACUGGGCUUGAAGAGUGCGUAGGCGGUUUCGUAAGUAGGGUGUGAAAGCCCCCGGCUCAACCGGGGAAUUGCGCCCUAAACUGCGAGGCUG